CCUUCGGGUGGCAGCAGUGAGGAAUAUUGGUCAAUGGGCGAGAGCCUGAACCAGCCAAGUCGCGUGAAGGAUGACGGCCCUACGGGUUGUAAACUUCUUUUGUCAGGGAGCAAUUUGGUCCACGCGUGGGCUUUGCGAGAGUACCUGCAGAAAAAGCAUCGGCUAACUCCUUGCCAGCAGCCGCGGUAUUACGGAGGUUGCGAGCGUUCUCCGGCUUUAUUGGGUUUAAAGGGUGCGUAGGCGGAAUAUCAAGUCAGCGGUAAAAAUUCGGGGGUCAACCCCGUCGUGCCGUUGAAACUGAUGGGCUUGAGUGGGCGAGAGGUAGGCGGAAUGCGUGGUGUAGCGGUGAAAUGCAUAGAUAUCACGAAGAACUCCGAUUGCGAAGGCAGCAUACCGGAGCACAACUGACGCUGAAGCACGAAAGCGUGGGUAUCGAACAGGAUUAGAUACCCCUGUAGUC
rnacentral:rRNA from 1 species